GCAAAUUACACGUUUGUGCGUAAAUCUAACGGAAUUCUUCGUAACCUCGUUCCUCUCUUCUGCGUUAGAUUCACGCACAAACUUGCCAUUUCCCU
rnacentral:pre_miRNA from 1 species